rnacentral:rRNA from 1 species
GAUGAGCGCUGGCGGCGUGCCUAAUACAUGCAAGUCGAGCAAACAGAUGAGGAGCUUGCUCCUCUGACGUUAGCGGCGGACGGGUGAGUAACACGUGGAUAACCUACCUAUAAGACUGGGAUAACUUCGGGAAACCGGAGCUAAUACCGGAUAAUAUAUUGAACCGCAUGGUUCAAUAGUGAAAGACGGUUUUGCUGUCACUUAUAGAUGGAUCCGCGCCGCAUUAGCUAGUUGGUAAGGUAACGGCUUACCAAGGCAACGAUGCGUAGCCGACCUGAGAGGGUGAUCGGCCACACUGGAACUGAGACACGGUCCAGACUCCUACGGGAGGCAGCAGUAGGGAAUCUUCCGCAAUGGGCGAAAGCCUGACGGAGCAACGCCGCGUGAGUGAUGAAGGUCUUCGGAUCGUAAAACUCUGUUAUUAGGGAAGAACAAAUGUGUAAGUAACUAUGCACGUCUUGACGGUACCUAAUCAGAAAGCCACGGCUAACUACGUG